UUACACAUGCAAGUCGAACGGCAGCGGGUCCUUCGGGAUGCCGGCGAGUGGCGAACGGGUGAGUAACAUAUCGGAACGUGCCCAAGAGUGGGGGAUAGCCCGGCGAAAGCCGGAUUAAUACCGCAUACGCCCUAUGGGGGAAAGUGGGGGACCGCAAGGCCUCAUGCUUCUGGAGCG
rnacentral:rRNA from 1 species